GUUGUGACUUUGCUUGACUACGGAGCUGGGAAUGUUCGGAGCAUCCGCAAUGCUCUUCGCCAUCUCGGGUUCACCAUCAAAGACGUUCAAACGCCAGGUGACAUUUUGAAUGCUGAUCGACUCAUAUUUCCUGGUGUUGGAGCUUUUGCACCCGCCAUGGAUGUACUUAACAAAACCGGGAUGGCUGAAGCAUUGUGCACAUAUAUUGAGAAUGACCGUCC